rnacentral:lncRNA from 1 species
CAGUGGCAGGAUCUCAGCUGCAACCUCCACCUCCCAGACUCAAGGGAGCUUCCCAGCCUCCCAAAUAGCUGGGACUACAGGUGUGCACCACCACACCUGGCUAAUUCUUUGAAUUUUUUUGGUAGAGACUGGGUUUUGCUAUGUUGCCUAGGCUGGUCUUGAACUAAUAGGCUCAAGCAGUCCAACUGCCUCAGCCUCCCAAAGAUUUGGGAUUACAGGCGUGAGCCAUCAGGCCGAGCAUUCAUACUUACUUUUGAAUAAUGAGUUUCGGAAACUAUAGAGAUUUAGCUACAAAGUUAAUUCUCCCUCAACACUUUACAAAAUAUUGCACCAAUACCUUCAAUUGUUCGUUGUUGAUUAUAAGGAAUCUGUCGUGACACGUACUUCAGAAUUCACAAGGCAACAGGAAAAAAAAAGGUUCAUGAGGGAAGAAAACCAAGUGAAUAACCCAGGAAAGUUGGUGAACUGUGACAUGUGUUGGACUCAUGUGAACCAUGAAUAUGUCGUAGGACAUGAUAAAAAAGAAAAAAGGAAAAAAGGUGGGAAGACUGAGAACUCACCUAUUGAUUCAGACCAAAACCCAAUUCAGCUUUUCCAGAAGACAAGAGUCUGCGUCAUAGAUUGAGUGUUGCUGCAGUAAUGUGAAGCAAGCCUACUGUCACCUUCUCAUAGAAAAUUGGAUAUCUUUCCUGACUGCCUGUUGUGGACUGAAUUGAGUCCACUUCAAAAUUCAUAUGUUAAAGCCCUAACCCCCAAUGUCACUGUUAAGGAGGAAAUUAAGGUUAAAUGAGGUCAUAUGGGUGGGAACCUUAAUUCAAUAAGACUGGUGUCCUUAUCAGAAGAAACACACCAAGGAUGCAUACUCACAGAAAAAAGCCCUCAUGAGGACAUAGAGAGAAGAUGGUCAUCAGCAAGGCAAGGAGAGAGGCAUCAAGAGAAACCAAACCUGCAGACACUUUGAUCUUAGACUUCCAGCCUCCAUACUGUGAGAUAAAUUUCUGUUAUUUAAGUCACAUAGUCUGUGGUAUUUUGUUAUGGCAACCCUAGCAAACUACUACACAGCCUUUUCAUGAGUUAUUGUUUUGUUUUGUUUUGUUUUUGCCUAAAAUCUAGAUCCUGCACAACCAUUUCAUGACUUUUGAUUUCAGGGUUAAUACUUUGUAUUGUCUUGGCGUUAAUACUUAUGUAUCAAAUUUUUCUGGGACCUAUUUUUUUCUUUCAAUUGACAAAUGCAAUUACUUUUAUUUUCAGAAAAGUUGCCUUCUAUGUUAUCUUGAAAUAUUUUUGUCCUUUUUCUCAAUGUAAAAAUAAUAUGCAGCCCUAAAAAAGAAUGAAAUUAUGUCCUAUGCAGCAACAUGGAUGCAGCUGGAGGCCAUUAUCCUAAGUGAAUUAAUGCGGAAACAGAAAAGCAAAUACCACAUGUAUUUGUGGAUGUGGUAUCCACAUCCACUUAUAAGUGGAUGCUAAACCUUGGGUACUCACAGACAUAAAGAUGGCAACAAUAGACACUGGGGACUACUAGAACAGGGAGGGAGGGAGGGAGGGGGGCAAAGGUUGAAAAACUAUCAAGUACUAUGCUUACCACCUGAAGGAUGGGAUCAUUUCUACCCCAAACCUCAGCAUCACACAUUAUACCCACAUAACAAACCUGCACAUGUACCCUCCAAAUCUAAAAUAAAAGGUGAAAAUAUUUUAAAAAAUUACAUCUACAAGGGAUCGCCUUUGUCUGCUUCCAGUGAUGUUAUCUCAAAUACUUCCUAAUGACACACUUUUUUAUUCUUACAGAUCUUUUUUUGUUUGUUUGUUUCAUCUUAUAUGUGUGCUUCAACAGGUGCAUCCUUUCUGACUUAGCAUCAGGGUGAUGGUAAGAUCUGUAUUUGAGGUUAGGCUAUGAGGACUCCUUUUUAGACCCUGAGCCUACAGCAGAUGCUACAAAUGCUACAAAUGCUACAAACCAGCUUUGUAGCCUAGAAGAACAUAAGCCUCCCAAAAGAAACACUUUGCGUGUAUAGGUCCCACAAAAAAAUCAUGAAUGAGGGAUCAUUAAUAGUGAGUUUUCUAUCCAGACAAUAUCUCAUAGGGUCUAAUUCACAGUAUUGUUUUAUGUCCAACAUAUUGGUUGCUAGUAACACAGAAAAAUGCUUUAUAAGAGAUUUUUAGAAACACAUUAUGUCAAUGAUUAAUGCCAAUAAUUUCUACUUUAUCAACAAUUAUCCAAAU